rnacentral:rRNA from 1 species
UCGUGUCGUGAGAUGUUGGGUUAAGUCCCGCAACGAGCGCAACCCUCACCUCUUGUUGCCAUCAGGUCAUGCUGGGCACUCUAGAGGAACUGCCCCGGUCAACGGGGAGGAAGGCGGGGAUGACGUCAAGUCAUCAUGCCCCUUACGUCCUGGGCUACACACGUGCUACAAUGGCCGGUACAGAGGGCGGCGAAAGCGCGAGCUGGAGCGAAUCCCCCAAAACCGGUCCCAGUUCGGAUCGCAGCUGCAACUCGCCUGCGUGAAGUAGGAAUCGCUAGUAAUCGC